rnacentral:rRNA from 1 species
AACGAACGCUGGCGGCAGGCCUAACACAUGCAAGUCGAGCGAAGCCUUCGGGCUUAGCGGCGGACGGGUGAGUAGCGCGUGGGAACGUGCCCUUUGGUACGGAAUAGCCCCGGGAAACUGGGAGUAAUACCGUAUGUGGUCGAGAGACGAAAGAUUUAUCGCCAAAGGAUCGGCCCGCGUUGGAUUAGGUAGUUGGUGGGGUAAUGGCCUACCAAGGCCGACGAUCCAUAGCUGGUUUGAGAGGAUGAUCAGCCACACUGGGACUGAGACACGGCCCAGACUCCUACGGGAGGGAGGCGUUGGGAAUCUUAGACAAUGGGGGAAACCCUGAUCUAGCCAUGCCGCGUGAUCGAUGAAGGCCUUAGGGUUGUAAAGAUCUUUCAGUGGGGAAGAUAAUGACUGUACCCACAGAAGUAGCCCCGGCUAACUCCGUGCCAGCCGCCGCUGUAAUAC